rnacentral:rRNA from 1 species
UACGUAGGUGGCAAGCGUUGUCCGGACUUACUGGGUGUAAAGGGCGUGCAGCCGGAGAGACAAGUCAGAUGUGAAAUCCACGGGCUCAACCCGUGAACUGCAUUUGAAACUGUUUCCCUUGAGUGUCGGAGAGGUAAUCGGAAUUCCUUGUGUAGCGGUGAAAUGCGUAGAUAUUAGGAGGAACACCAGUGGCGAAGGCGGCUUACUGGACUGUAACUGACGUUGAGGCUCGAAAGCGUGGGGAGCAAACAGG